rnacentral:rRNA from 1 species
UACGUAGGUGGCAAGCGUUUGUCCGGAUUUAUUGGGUUUAAAGGGUGCGUAGGCGGCUUUGUAAGUCAGUGGUGAAAUAUGGCAGCUCAACUGUCAAGGUGCCAUUGAUACUGCGGAGCUUGAGUACAGAUGAGGUAGGCGGAAUUGACGGUGUAGCGGUGAAAUGCUUAGAUAUCGUCAAGAACACCUAUAGCGAAGGCAGCUUACUAGGCUGUAACUGACGCUGAGGCACGAAAAGUGUGGGGAUCAAACAGG